rnacentral:rRNA from 1 species
UGGUGGAGUGAUUUGUCUGGUUAAUUCCGAUAACGAGCGAGACCUCAGCCAGCUAACUAGCUCUGCGAUUCGCAAGAAUCGUGCUAAAGGGCUUCUUAGAGGGACUAUCACUGUGUAAGUGAUGGAAGUUUGAGGCAAUAACA